GAUGGUGUAGCUCAGUGGUAGAGCGCAUGGUUCGUAUGAAUGAGGUCCUGGGUUCAAUCCCCAGUACCUUCA
rfam:Camelus ferus unplaced genomic scaffold scaffold989, whole genome shotgun sequence.